AGUAACUGACUGUGACAGAUCACAAAUGGGUAAAACUGGGACUUCAACAAUAGUCUUUUAGUAACACAUUUGCAUACUCAUUGUUAUUUUUCAUCACACUUGGAAAAAUCAGUGCUGCCAAGGCCUUGACAAAAGGUAUUACUGACAACCGCUAUGAAAUGGCACAAAUAUAUAAACUUUGAACCCAUAGGUAGGGAUUUGAUUGUGUGCUUUUGUAAGGCAGAAUACUGUAUAUAAGACUUACUGUUAUGCUGUUGCUUUGUCUUCAUUUACUCUGGAUGAACACGUGCGUUCACGGACCUUGUCAUUUGAUUGAAAAGAUCUAUUCUUGUGGUAUCAUUACAAUUAGGCGUAAAGAGUCCGGUUCGUGGUGCAUGCGUCAGGACGUCACGGUUUUGGCUGGAAAGGUGUGUGAUGCAUAUAAAAGGAGGUCGACUCCUACUAGACUACCAAUCUCUUCUCAACCCGAAUCGUAGCCGAGAUCUUCCGAGAUACGGCGUACGUAAUUACCAUGGACAGCUACCGUUUAUGCAGUCUUGCCUUGAUCUGCGCUGCGUUCAUUUUCAACACUUUCUGCCAAGAAGUGGAGUUGGAUUCGAGGUCUUUGUACCAUUUCACACAACAAGAAUAUAAUCCUAACGAAAAGCAGUUGAUUAGUGCCUUGAAAGGAGUCCUUGAAAAACUGAAAAACAAUAGAUUUCCACUUUACGGGAAGAAAUAUGGCCAGUUGCCAAUGUGUGAAGCAGGUGAGCGGUGUGCUCUGCGGAAAGGCGCGCGGAUCGGGAAACUCUGCGAUUGUCCAUACAGAAUAUCCUGCAAUUCAUUUCUGCUUAGGUGUUUGUGAUUAUCUGUCCGGAAACCCAGUAUAACAGGAUAAACCAUAAUUUCACUCAAAAAAAGUUUAUUAUAAAUGUUUAUCAGAAAAAAAUGCAUAUGUGGAGCGUUUAGCAAUUCCCCAUUACUUGUAGCUAUUUUCUUUUCGAUAAUGACUGUGGCCAAAACUUCAUAUUGCGAUGUAAAGUUUGCCAUUGGUGUUUAUGCUUUUUUAAACAUUUGACGUCAAAUAGCCUAAAUGAGAAACGGGAGAUUUGGCGAUUUUACAUAUUGCAUCAAUAAAUGUAAUCCAUUAA